AGAGUUUGAUCCUGGCUCAGGACGAACGCUGGCGGUGUGCUUCACACAUGCAAGUCGAACGGUAGCAAUACAGUGGCGGACGGGUGAGUAACACGUGGGAAUCUGCCUUUAGAUGGGGGAUAACUAGCCGAAAGGUUAGCUAAUACCGCAUAUGCCGAAAGGUGAAAGGAGCAAUCCGUCUGAAGAUGAGCCCGCGUCCGAUUAGCUAGUUGGUAAGGUAAAGGCUUACCAAGGCUGUGAUCGGUAGCUGGUCUGAGAGGAUGAUCAGCCACAAUGGGACUGAGACACGGCCCAUACUCCUACGGGAGGCAGCAGUGGGGAAUUUUACGCAAUGGGCGAAAGCCUGACGUAGCGACACCGCGUGAACGAAGAAGCCUUUUGGGGUGUAAAGUUCUGUCGGCAGGGACGAAAAAAAUGACGGUACCUGCAAAGGAAGCAUCGGCUAACUACGUGCCAGCAGCCGCGGUAAGACGUAGGAUGCGAGCGUUGUCCGGAUUUAUUGGGCGUAAAGAGUUCGUAGGCGGUUCGUUAAGUCUGAUGUUAAAGAUCGGGGCUCAACCUCGAGAGUGCAUUGGAUACUGGCGGACUUGAGUGCAGUAGAGGCGAGUGGAAUUCUCAGUGUAGCGGUGAAAUGCGUAGA
rnacentral:rRNA from 1 species